CGCGGCCUAUCAGCUUGUUGGUGGGGUAAUGGCCUACCAAGGCGACGACGGGUAGCCGGCCUGAGAGGGCGACCGGCCACACUGGGACUGAGACACGGCCCAGACUCCUACGGGAGGCAGCAGUGGGGAAUAUUGCACAAUGGGCGGAAGCCUGAUGCAGCGACGCCGCGUGAGGGAUGACGGCCUUCGGGUUGUAAACCUCUUUCACCCAUGACGAAGCGCAAGUGACGGUAGUGGGAGAAGAAGCGCCGGCCAACUACGUGCCAGCAGCCGCGGUAAGACGUAGGGCGCGAGCGUUGUCCGGAAUUAUUGGGCGUAAAGAGCUCGUAGGCGGCUUGUCGCGUCGGCUGUGAAAUCCCGUGGCUCAACUGCGGGUCUGCAGCCGAUACGGGCAGGCUAGAGUUCGGUAGGGGAGACUGGAAUUCCUGGUGUAGCGGUGAAAUGCGCAGAUAUCAGGAGGAACACCGAUGGCGAAGGCAGGUCUCUGGGCCGAUACUGACGCUGAGGAGCGAAAGCGUGGGGAGCGAACAGGAUUAGAUACCCUGGUAGUCCACGCUGUAAACGUUGGGCGCUAGGUGUGGGGGACCUCUCCGGUUCUCUGUGCCGCAGCU
rnacentral:rRNA from 1 species